UCAUGUAAUUGUCUUCGCUGGGAAAGGUGCAUUGUUGUAGACAUUUGGUUUCUGGACAAUAACUUUAGUAUAAGUAAAUAUAAAUCUAUGAAAUUUAAACACAAGGUUUAUAACCAUAAAAGUAAGGUUGGGAUUGAUUUUGGGGUUAGGAAUUAUAGGCAAAAAAGGAGUCCAAAUAAACAUUUUUCUAGUUUCCAGACAUUAACUGGUGGAACGGUGCAUGGAUCUCUCAGAAAUUAUACCACACAUUUCCAUACUUCAAAGGGAUAGUUAAGAUUGGCUUUGGGGGUUAAAAUCGUUUAGGAAUUAGGGG
rnacentral:lncRNA from 1 species